AUUGAACGCUGGCGGCAGGCUUAACACAUGCAAGUCGAGCGGAGACUUCGGUCUUAGCGGCGAACGGGUGAGUAAUACCUAGGAAUCUGCCUAUUAGUGGGGGAUAACGAAUCGAAAGGUUCGCUAAUACCGCAUACGUCCUACGGGAGAAAGGGGGGAGUCUUCGGACCGUCUCGCUAAUAGAUGAGCCUAGGCCGGAUUAGCUAGUUGGUAGGGUAAAGGCUUACCAAGGCGACGAUCUGUAGCUGGUCUGAGAGGAUGGCCAGCCACACUGGAACUGAGACACGGCCCGAGACUCCUACGGGAGGCA
rnacentral:rRNA from 1 species